AUUUUAUAAAAUUUAUUAAUAUAUUUAACAUAUAGUUAAUUAUAUUUAAAUAGAAUUUACGAAUUUUAGAAAUUAAAAUGUAAUUAAUGAAUAUUUAUUUAUACGUUUUAAAUAUUUCAACGAUUUAUGAAAUCAAAAAUAAUUUAGAAUUUUAUGUUGAAAAGAAUUUGAAUUACGAAAACACAUUUGAACUUGGAAAUCAAUCCUAAUCGAUUUUGGACUAAAACGAACUCAAUUCUAAUCCUAGCCCAUAUUAAUAAAGCCCAAAACAAAUAACCCAUAAUCCUUCACCCUUGUUCAAUCCCAUGUGAAACACUCCCUCAACUUCACGUGAUAUAGAAAAAAAAAAAAAAAAUCUCAAACUCUCCUUCCCUUUUCACGAUCCUCCUCCCUGCUCCUCUCUUUGCUCAGCCACCACCAGCAGCGCACCACCACCACCUGCUCGCGGACUCGUGGUUGUUCUUGCCGCGCCGCCUUGCUCUCACCGUCGUCGCCGCUGCCACCAUUGUUUCCUGCCGGCGACCAAGCCACCACCCGACACCGGUCUCCAUCGUCGCCACACUCAACCACCGUGCGCCGCUGUGCCCCACCUCGCCGCCCACUCGCUGCCGCGCCUGCCCUAACGCCGGCCAUCCACCCUUUUGUCUCUUUUUUGGUGGAGAAUUCUCCGU